UACGUAGGGGGCUAGCGUUGUCCGGAAUCAUUGGGCGUAAAGCGCGUGUAGGCGGUUCGGUAAGUCCGCUGUGAAAGUCGGGGGCUCAACCCUCGGAAACCGGUGGAUACUGUCGAGCUAGAGUACGGAAGAGGCGAGUGGAAUUCCUGGUGUAGCGGUGAAAUGCGCAGAUAUCAGGAGGAACACCAAUUGCGAAGGCAGCUCGCUGGGACGUUACUGACGCUGAGACGCGAAAGCGUGGGGAGCAAACAGG
rnacentral:rRNA from 1 species